CCCUGGCCCCUGGUCCUGUCCUGUUCUCCAGCAUGGUGUGUCUGAGGCUCCCUGGAGGCUCCUGCAUGGCAGCUCUGACAGUGACGCUGAUGGUGCUGAGAUCCCCACUGGCUUUGGCUGGGGGCACCCAACCAGGUUUCUUGGAGCAGGCUAAGUGUGAGUGUCAUAUCUUCAAUGGGACUGAGCGGGUGCAGUACCUGAACAGAUACAUCCAUAAACGGGAGGAGAACCUGCGCUUCCAUAGCGACCUGGGGGAGUUCCAGGCGGUGACGCAACUGGGGCGACCUGUCGCGGAGAAGUGGAACAGCCAGAAGGGCAUCCUGGAGGAGAAGCGGGACAAGGUGGACACCUACUGCAGAUACAAUUACGGGGUUUUUGAGAGCUUCACAGAGCAGCGAUGAGUCCAACCUAAGGUGACUGUGUAUCCUGCAAAGACCCAGCCCCUGCAGCACCACACCCUCCUGGUCUGCUCUGUGAGUGGUUUCUAUCCAGGCAGCAUUGAAGUCAGGUGGUUCCGGAAUGGCCAGGAAGAGAAGGCUGGGGUGGUGUCCGCAGGCCUGAUACACAAUGGAGACUGGACCUUCCAGACCCUGGUGAUGCUGGAAACAGUUCCUCGGAGUGGAGAGGUUUACACCUGCCAAGUGGAGCACCCAAGCGUGAUGAGCCCUCUCACAGUGCAAUGGAGAGCACGGUCUGAAUCUGCACAGAGCAAGAUGCUGAGUGGAGUCGGGGGCUUUGUGCUGGGCCUGCUCUUCCUUGGGGCCGGGCUGUUCGUCUACUUCAGGAAUCAGAAAGGACACUCUGGACUUCCGCCAACAGAAUUGCAACAAACAGGCCUUGUUCCCUAA